AUUGAACGCUGGCGGCAUGCUUUACACAUGCAAGUCGAACGGUAACAGGUUAAGCUGACGAGUGGCGAACGGGUGAGUAAUGCAUCGGAACGUGCCCGGUCGUGGGGGAUAACGCAGCGAAAGCUGCGCUAAUACCGCAUACGAUCUGAGGAUGAAAGCGGGGGACCGUAAGGCCUCGCGCGAUCGGGGCGGCCGAUGUCAGAUUAGGUAGUUGGUGGGGUAAAGGCUCACCAAGCCAACGAUCUGUAGCUGGUCUGAGAGGACGACCAGCCACACUGGGACUGAGACACGGCCCAGACUCCUACGGGAGGCAGCAGUGGGGAAUUUUGGACAAUGGGCGAAAGCCUGAUCCAGCAAUGCCGCGUGCAGGAAGAAGGCCUUCGGGUUGUAAACUGCUUUUGUACGGAGCGAAAAGGUCUCCUCUAAUACAGGGGGCUCAUGACGGUACCGUAAGAAUAAGCACCGGCUAACUACGUGCCAGCCGCCGCGGUAA
rnacentral:rRNA from 1 species